rnacentral:rRNA from 1 species
UACGAAGGGGGCUAGCGUUGCUCGGAAUCACUGGGCGUAAAGGGUGCGUAGGCGGGGCUUUAAGUCAGGGGUGAAAUCCUGGAGCUCAACUCCAGAACUGCCUUUGAUACUGAGGAUCUUGAGUUCGGGAGAGGUGAGUGGAACUGCGAGUGUAGAGGUGAAAUUCGUAGAUAUUCGCAAGAACACCAGCGGCGAAGGCGGCUCACUGGCCCGAUACUGACGCUGAGGCACGAAAGCGUGGGGAGCAAACAGG